rnacentral:lncRNA from 1 species
GUGGCCCAUGGUGCUAAAUUAACUGUUAACACAAAUAAUCAAAGUACAAGGCCCAUCAAGCCGCUGGCGCCAGCAAAAUGAGGGAGAGGCCAGGUCAGCCUUGCUCCAAAGAGCCAGGCCACUAGCAGGUGGAGACGAACCAAGGGACCGGACAGGAUGGAAGUGCUUACAGAACACAGUGACCAACUGACAGAGGAAAACGCCACUGCACUCCCGCCUUCCAGCUAUUGUGUGGGCCCAGGGUUUGGUUCUCAGGACUGAGAGACCCUCACUGCUCUCCUCUCCAGAGUCUUCUCCUCCUUCCAA